ensembl:snRNA U6 U6 spliceosomal RNA
GUGCUGGCUUGGCAGCCCAUAUACUAAAAUUGGAAUGAUACAGGGAUUAACAUGGUCCCUGCAUAAGAAUGACAUGCAUAUUAAUGAAAUGUUCCAUAGUUUU